CCUUCAAGGGAGGGAGCAGGCGCGCAAUUACCCAAUCCUGACUCAGGGAGGUAGUGACAAGAAAUAACAAUAAACCGGCUUAUGCCGGUUUAAUUGGAAUGAGUACAAUUUAAACAUCUUAACGAGGAACAAUUGGAGGGCAAGUCUGGUGCCAGCAGCCGCGGUAAUUCCAGCUCCAAUAGCGUAUACUAAAGUUGUUGCAGUUAAAAAGCUCGUAGUUGGAUUUCUGUGGGGACGGAGCGGCCGGCCGCACAUCGCGGUUCGAGCUAGCGCUUUCCCUACAUCCUGCCGCGAACCGUGCUACCAUUAAUUUGGUGGCGCUGGGGAUCGGCUCGAUUACUUUGAGAAAAAUAGAGUGUUCAAAGCAGGCCACAUGCCUUGAAUAAGUUAGCAUGGAAUAAUAACUAAGGACUUCGGUUCUAUUUUGUUGGUGUUCGGGACUGAAGUAAUGAUUGAUAGGGACAGUUGGGGCGGUCUGUAUUCCAAAGCGAGAGGUGAAAUUCUUAGACCUUCGGAAGACAAACAGCUGCGAAAGCGUUCCGCAAGGAUGUUCCCUUUGAUCAAGAACGAAAGUUGGGGGAUCGAAGACGAUCAGAUACCGUCGUAGUCUCAACUAUAAACUAUACCAGCUAGGGAUCGGCCAACGUUAUUUCAAACCGACUUGGUCGGCACCUUAUGAGAAAUCAAAGCAUCUGGGUUCCGGGGGGAGUAUGGUCGCAAGGCUGAAACUUAAAGGAAUUGACGGAAGGGCACCACCAGCCGUGGAGCCUGUGGCUUAAUUUGACUCAACACGGGAAAACUUACCAGGUCCAGACAUAGUAAGGAUUGACAGAUUGACAGCUCUUUCUUGAUUCUGUGGGUGGUGGUGCAUGGCCGUUCUUAGUUGGUGGAGUGAUUUGUCUGGUUAAUUCCGUUAACGAACGAGACCCCAGCCUGCUAAAUAGCGCGCGUGAGCUUUGCUCGCGGCGAGCUUCUUAGAGGGACUAUGAUGCGCGAUAGCACAUGGAAGUUUGGGGCAAUAACAGGUCUGUGAUGCCCUUAGAUGUUCUGGGCCGCACACGGGCUACACUGGCGCCUGCAACGAGCAUAUCAGCUGGUCCGAGAGGGUCUUGGCUAAUCUUUUGAACCGGCGCCGUGCUUGGGAUUGACCUUUGCAAUUGUUGGUCAUGCAACGAGGAAUGCCUUGUAAACGCGAGUCAUCAGCUCGCAUUGAAUACGUCCCUGCCCUUUGUACACACCGCCCGUCGCUCCUACCGAUGAAUGUUCCGAUGAAAUUUUCGGAGAGCACCUGUGAACUUGGCUCCGCCUUGCGAACGGGAGGCUCAAAGUCACUUAAAUCUGAACAUGGAG
rnacentral:rRNA from 1 species